GUGAUGUGGCGCAGUGGCAGUGCGUCUGCCUGCGACGCAGAAGUUUCCGGUUUCGAUUCUCGGUGGGUUACU